rnacentral:misc_RNA from 1 species
UUUCCGUAGGUGAACCUGCGGAAGGAUCAUUACCGUACAAAAUGUGAGGGGCAUGCGAGGGCUGUCGCUGACCCAAGAGUCGUGCACGCCCGAGUGUGUCCUCUUGCAUAAUAAUCCAUCUCACCCUUUGUGCAUCACCGCGUGGGCACCCUUCGGGAUCAUCUCGGAGGGGGGCUCGCGUUUUCACACAAACCCCCCUUUUAAAAGUGUAGAAUGACCACAUUUAUGCAAUCAAUACAACUUUCAACAACGGAUCUCUUGGCUCUC